rnacentral:rRNA from 1 species
CCUGGGGGCCCCCCUGCCGCAGCAACGCCGCUUGGGUGAUGACGGCCUUCGGGUCGUAAAGCCCUGUCGGGAGGGAAGAAAUGAUUGAGAGCUAAUACCUCUUGGUCUUGACGGUACCUCCGCAGGAAGCACCGGCUAACACCGUGCCAGCAGCCGCGGUACUACGGAGGGUGCAAGCGUUGUUCGGAAUUAUUGGGCGUAAAGCGCGUGUAGGCGGUCUUUUAAUGCUGAUGUGAAAGCCCCGGGCGCAACGUGGCAAGUGCAUUGGAAACGGGGAGACUUGAGUACGGGAGAGGAGAGUGGAAUUCCUAGUGUAGGAGUGAAAUCCGUAGAGAGUAGGAGGAACACCGGUGGCGAAGGCGGCUCUCUGGACCGAUACGGACGCUGAGACGCGAAAGCGUGGGUAGCAAA